rnacentral:misc_RNA from 1 species
AGCCUUCGCGGUCGCCUCUCUCUUCGUCGGCUCCGCUGCCUCCGCGUCUGUUGCUGCCCUUCAAGCCUCUGGGUUCCACAAGGUGGAGGACCUUAUAGAAAUGGGAACUAAUGUAAGGACCGGACUUGGGAUUCCUCCAAGAGCACGAGAGGAGCAAGUGUUGCUUUCUCCCCAUUUACAUACAGUACUUUUGCUGGGUUGUUACUUGGUAUAUGGCUAUUGAUUAUUGUCUGCCAUUUGUUUUGCCAGAAGAGCAAAUGAUCUAUGAGGAAGGUCUCAAAGUUGCAGACACAGCUUUACCUCAGUUGAGGAAGCAGAUGGUUCUUUAUCGUUUGAGUAAGUGAAGAAAACAAGAGGUUUAAAACAAUUGGUUCUUUACCAUUGGAAUGACCAAGUGAAGACGCAUCAAGAAUGCAGAGUGAUUGAUUAUGGGUCUUUAUUUGAGUUGAAUGUCUCUUGAUUUUGUAAUACACAUUGCCGUCCAUAGAUGAUAUGUUCAAAUUUUUAAUUUUUUUAGUGAUGUAUCUCCUCACCAUUGGUUCAGGAGCUGAAGGAUCAAAUGGUUAAGCAUUUAGCAUGAGAAGAAGCCAUGAAAUAUUUGAAUUUAGGCUGCAUUGAGAUUCAAAAGUGUACAAUGUUCCAAAAUUCACAUGCCAAAUGAAAAGUAGGGUAACACUCAAUCAUUUAUCAGAAGUUAUGCGCUAUUCUCUUAUAAAGUGAAUUCAAUCCACCAGCUAUGGUAAAAAACCAGAACUCGAGAAAGCUAAGACAAAACCUAUUUUAUAUAGAAAAAUUCAGAAAUUUUGCAUGACUGUUGGUAAGAAUUAGUCAUGAAUAUAAUGUGCAGUAAAUUGGUACAACCAAAACUUUGUAACUUGUAAACUUGGAAUAGUUGUACACGUCUUUUAUGAAGGCACCAUGGUAGGUGCCGGCAUAUAAGACUCUAGAAUCAAUUGCGAUUGGGAGGGUUGCAUAAUCUGGACAAUCAAGUAUGUGUAUUUCCAUUGCUUGUCCACCCUGUCUUUAAACAUCUCUGCAGAAACUUUGCCGGCUCCAUGUGGCCCACGAAUAUAAAAAUUGACCAGUACAUGCUCCACGCCAUCUUCAUCAGUGUAGAUCUUAUUGGGAAUACGUUGGCGAGCAGCACGAUUUCGACUUUCCUGACCAUAACCUGUAAUAGGGGAUCCAAUCCUCACCCUGACCUGAGCAUCAUCUUGAAUCCUUUUGAGAGCCUUGUUAAAAAUCUUGUACUCUUUUGGUUCAAAUAUCAGUUCCUUGAAAACGGCAUAACCUGCAGCAGCCGCAACUCCAAGUCCUGCAAGAAUAAUAAUACUGUAGGAUGCCCCCUCUGCAAAUGUCACAGGCUUCUCUGGAAUAUUAUACGUAGGAGCAUCGAAGGGAUCCUCAACCGUAGAUACCUCUUUUCUAGUCUCAGAUGUUCUUUCCUCUGUUUGCUUGGAAGCUUUUGAAGCAAAUGAUCUAGCAUAGCAAGGAUUAACAGUGUUUGCUCCAUGGAUUUUCAUGAGUUGGAAUUGUGAUCCAAGGCCAACCAUGCAUUCCUUACCAAGGUGCCCUCCACAAAGAACAGUAUUUCCUGCCAAACAUUACUGUCAAGAAAUAAAUUGUGAAAAGGGAAACAUAUCAACAUAAAAUUACUUUCUUACUAUCGCUGCAAACCAGUGAAUAUGCAUGCUUGACAAUAUAUGCCAGUUUGAACUUUUGGCACCAAAUAAUGUCUAAUUUGACUUCCCUGGCUACAAAUCCUUCUUAUCUUGGAGAGGGCCACACCUUUAAAAGGCUGUUGGGUUCAUUCCGUUUUAAUAGGCCCUUACAUCAAAAGAAUAUCUUAGAUUGCUUUCUUCUAGAUCUUUUAACUAAAUUCCUUAAUUAAUUUUAACCUAUCAGAAAGGAUGAAGGUUUGUAAGACAUAUUAUAAGUAGAUAACUAGUGAAAUGGCUCUUUCAUAGUUGCCUUGGGUAUAGGGAUUGGCCCAAGUUUUGGCGUUUAUAAAUGACUUCCGUCUUUACUAUUUAUAAAAUAAAAUUAAAAAUGACUCCAAAGGUCAAUGCGAUAUAAGAGAUUCAGUUGGUAAAUGUGCAAACUGCAAGGCAUAAGGCCAUGCUGAACUUAGACCAAUAAUGUGGCUUAUGGCAUGCACUACAAGACCCUAUCAUAUCAAAUGAUAUGCAAUGUUGCAUAAACUAAGAAGAAAACAAGAGGACAGACAACAUAUAUUCUUUUUUUUACUUUUUAACAAAAAUUAUGAAAUUUAAAAGAAAGCUGAAUGGGAGGAGCAGGAAGGAAUGAAGUUCCUCAUUUUAUUUGCUACAAUAAAAAUGAUACCAAGUAAUCCAAAAAGCAUAAGAAUAUUAAAAGAUCUCUGUCCCUUGUAUAAGUUUCACAACGAUGCAGCAAACCAAUAAAAACACCUAGUCAUCAACAAAAAUCAUAGGAGAAGAUUAUAACAUUUUUUCUAAAACCUGCAGUACUCUGUUGAACAUCCCUUUCAGAGGCAGGGAAGUAUGACUCUUAGUCUCACCAGAAAAGAGAUAAGAUGAAACUGAAUUUGGAUGAGCAAAAAUGAACAAAUGAAUAAUCCAAAAAGAAACAAACAUAUUGAAAAGCGCCAAUCUAAAUAUAUCUGAUGUCUCCAACAAGCAACAUGGAUGAUCAUGAAAGGAAACCUUGAAGGGGGUACACGAAGAAUGAACUAACUGCAAAAGGACCUAAUAAAGAGUAAAAAAUUUCUUAAGAGUGCAAAUAAAAGAGUGAGUUAUAAUCCCCAUACUAGGUGGGGAUUAUGAAUCAUUUACUAACCGUUAGGACAGAAUAUCUCCAUAGACCAAUGGUUGGCAUCAGCAGUAGGUUGUCUCCCAUAAUCUGACUUAAAUGCAACUAGCAACUAUAUCAACACCACAGAGUAACUCAAAUUUGUUACUAGACCACAGUUAACUACCGUACUCGAAAUAAACGGAUUACUGCACAAGGAAAAAACUACUUUUGACAACCAGUAGUUAAAAGAAUACCUAUGACAGCCGGUUGGAUUAUUAGUCUCAUAGAAAUGCCAUAGGGGAUUUAGAAAGAGAAGGGAGAAGGGGGUCUCACUAGAAAAUAAAAGGAAAAGGGCAAGUACUUUGGUUCAGAAUUUAUCUAAAUUAAAGCCAACUAUUACCUAAGCCCUAUCAAACUACUGUCAGUUUGUCUUAAACAGUUGCAUAAACACACAAAUAUAGUCGAACUCAACUAAGAUCACAAAAAGUACUGUAAUAUCCAGCUUCAACUCUAUGGUAACUAAAAAAGGUUUAAGUUUGCAGUAAGUCCUAGAAUCUUUUACAACAAAACAUACAUAAGCACAUUAGUUUGUGGCCAACUGCAUACGCAUAGCACUAGCAAGAAUGGUUUUCUCGGAAAAGGCAAGGAGGCUUUGAAAGUAGAAAUAUCAACCUCAGGAACAAAUCACAAUUUGUCUCAUACAUACGCAGGAUAAAAAAAACGUACCCUUUUAGUCGAAUUACCAAUUGCAGUUUUCCGCGUAGCCAUGGAUGAUGAAAAAGAAGCCAAACCCACAUCAGAUACACGCUUUAUAGGCUUCCGCUCCAAAAAUGACGACAACCCAUAUUGGCAUUCCAAGAAACCAAUGCAUCUGCAGCUCCUAAGCGACAUUGCUGAUCUCCUGAGAAGGUCCAUUUUCAACUGAAAAUUAUAAUUAAAAAAAAAAUCUCUAACUCAACAAAUAACAGGACCUAUACAGCCCAAGGAUUUCGCUACAUGGAGGGUUCAACCAGUGAACUACAGGAUUCCCAGAAAUUAAAAUCGACAAAUAUUCAAGACCCAGAAAUCAGAUUUUCAGAGCGACAGAGACGACAACGGUCGGGUAAACCCAAAACCGAACAGCACGAAGCAAUUUGGGUUCGGGGUUCUAUUGCAG